rnacentral:rRNA from 1 species
AUUUGUCCUUUAAUUGGGGUCUAGAAUGAAUGGUUGUAUGAGGAAUUGACUUUUUUAAUUAAAUUUAUUUAAAUUUUAUUUUUUAGUUAAAAAGCUAAAAUACAUUUAUGUGACGAUAAGACCCUAUAAAAUUUAAUUAAAUAUUUAUAAGUUAAUAGGAAGAUUUUAUUAUUAAUAUAUAAAUAUUUAAUUUGGUUGGGGUGACUAUUUUAAUUGAUUAACUAUAAUUUUUUUUUAUCACUAAUUAGUGACUAAUUGAUCCUAAAUGUUUAGAUUAAAAGAACAAAUUACUUUAGGGAUAACAGCGUAAUUUUCUUGAGGAGUUCUUAUUUAUAAGAAAGAUUGCGACCUCGAUGUUGGAUUAAAGUUAAGUUAAGGUGUAGCAGCUUUAAUUUUAAGUCUGUUCGACUUUUAAAAUUUUAC